AUUGAACGCUGGCGGCAUGCUUUACACAUGCAAGUCGAACGGUAACAGGGAGCUUGCUCCGCUGACGAGUGGCGAACGGGUGAGUAAUGCGUCGGAACGUGCCGAGUAGUGGGGGAUAACGCAGCGAAAGUUGUGCUAAUACCGCAUACGUACUGAGGUAGAAAGUGGGGGACCUUCGGGCCUCACGCUAUUCGAGCGGCCGACGGCUGAUUAGCUAGUAGGUGAGGUAAAGGCUCACCUAGGCGACGAUCAGUAGCGGGUCUGAGAGGAUGAUCCGCCACACUGGGACUGAGGCACGGCCCAGACUCCUACGGGAGGCAGCAGUGGGGAAUUUUGGACAAUGGGCGAAAGCCUGAUCCAGCCAUGCCGCGUGUCUGAAGAAGGCCUUCGGGUUGUAAAGGACUUUUGUCGGGGAGGAAAUCCCCAGCGCUAAUACCGCUGGGGGAUGACAGUACCUGAAGAAUAAGCACCGGCUAACUACGUGCCAGCAGCCGCGGUAACAC
rnacentral:rRNA from 1 species